UACGUAGGGUGCGAGCGUUAAUCGGAAUACUGGGCGUAAAGCGUGCGCAGGCGGUGAUGUAAGACCGAUGUGAAAUCCCCGGGCUUAACCUGGGAACUGCAUUGGUGACUGCAUUGCUGGAGUAUGGCAGAGGGGGGUGGAAUUCCACGUGUAGCAGUGAAAUGCGUAGAGAUGUGGAGGAACACCGAUGGCGAAGGCAGCCCCCUGGGCCAAUACUGACGCUCAUGCACGAAAGCGUGGGGAG
rnacentral:rRNA from 1 species